CAUGAGGAAUCGUCCGGGUCGAUGCGGCGGCGACGCCGUCGCCUGCCUCGUGCCGCCCGAGCGCACCGGUCGUGAGCCACCUGACGCCAUCGAUCCCGCGCCGUCCGUGCCCCUCUCCAGGCCGUUCGUCGAUCGCGUGCCUCUGCAGCCAUCUCCGAGCUCAUCCGCCCAGGCAUUGCCGGCCGCGCCCUUCCUCCCCGCCGGGCCACGGUCCAGGCUGUGGCCAGACGCAGGCAUCCAAGGCGCCGCCGGACCUAGUCAUGACCGUAUCCAGGUGAUGCAGCUCUCUCUCUCUCUCUCUUUCAGAUUGGGUUGCCACAUCUGUGCCGACCUCACCCUUGAGCUGCCGCAUCUGCGGAAGUCCAACAACAGCACCUAGUGAGAUUGGGUUACGCGAGGUGGGGUGGUGGGAAAAGGGCAAGUAGGCGUCCCCUCGUUGGGGCACGAAUUUGUCUGUCCUCAUAGAGGCUGAGCACAUCAUGGAGAGAUCUCCUGUGGCUACCCCUCCGGAAAUUGAGGAAGGGCUCUCUAGUGGUUCUCCGUCAGCGAGAACUCCAAGGGUGGAGGUCCUUAUGCCGCUUCCUAGAAUUUCUCCAACUAAUCGGACUAGAGUUUCUACAACAGAUUUGGCAAGAAUCAACCGGUUGAAGUGAGCAAGGUGUGCAGUUGGUUCUCCAAGUAUAAGGAUAAUCAAUCAAAUUCAAUUGUCUACACCGACAACAAGGUCUCCCAAAAAUUCUACAACUCGAAAUUCAUGUGGUAAGACAACAAUUUCUAUGGUUGGUAACAAUAUCAUAUAGUUUUGAAACUUGUACUAUGUACGAUAUCGAACUGCAGUUGUAUUGAUUUCUGUUUUCAAUUAUUAUAGACCCUAUAACUAAAAGUACUUCUAGGCAGUUGAGGUCUAUUUAUUGGAAGGACUUCGAACCUAUCAUUCAGAACGGUGAGAUUAUUUAUGCCAAAUGUAUGCAUUGUCAUGAGUAUCUUAGUGGCAAACAAAGCGUAGGAACCAGUCACCCGAAAAAACAUUUGGAGCGCUGCAAAUUAAGGUCAAGAGUCCCUGAGUUUGUUGAUAAAUUAUGUGCUGGUGCAACUCCUUCUGAUAUUGAGCGUUUGGAAAAUUGGAUUUAUGAUUCGGAUCUAGCACAUAGAGCACUUGUUCGUAUGGUAGUGUUACAUGAACUCCCAUUCUUUAUAGUUGAGUAUGAUGGAUUUAAUGAGUUUGUUUAUAGUUUGAAUCCUUUGUUCAAAAUUGUAUCAAGAACAACUAUAAAGUUAGACUGCAUGGGCUUUUGAAAAUGCAAAGUUAGAAUUGAGGGAGGUGUUUAAGAAUUCCACUUCAAAAGUUUCACUAACGGCUGAUAUGUGGACAUCCAAUCAGACAUUAGGGUAUUUAUGUGUCACUUGUCACUGGAUCUCUAGUGAGUGGAAGAUUCAUAAAAGGAUUAUCGUUUUCUUGACGAUGGAAUCACCACACAAUGCACCAUCCAUGUUUAAUGCUUUACUGAAAGGCAUUCAUGAGUGGAAUAUUGAGGACAAGUUGUUUGGUAUAACAUUAGACAAUGCCACAGUUAACAAUUCAAUGAUGGUGCUGCUGAGAACCAACUUGUUGAUGAAGAAAAUGUUACCAUGUGAAGGAAACAUUUUUCAUAUUCGGUGUGGUGCACAUAUUAUAAACCUAGUAGUUCAAGUUUUAAGAAAAUCAGUAGUAUUAUGCACAACAUCAGAGAGAGUGUAAAAUAUAUCAAAAGCUCACAAGCUGGGAAAGAGAAGUUUGAAGUAGUUGUACAAGUUGGAGUAUCUUGGAGUAUCUCUUGGAAAGCAGCCCACCCUUGAUGUCUCUACAAGAUGGAAUUCAACAUUUUUUAUGCUUCAAUCUGCAUAUCCAUAUAGGAGAGUAUUUGAUGAACUGGGAAAGCAAGAUAAAAGUUACACUAAUACACCAACAUCGGUGGAAUGGGAAAGAUCUAAACUUGUUUGCACCUUACUAGAGACAUUUGCUGAUGCCACUGAGUUGUUAUCUGGGUCCUCCUAUCCCACAGCAAAUCUUUAUUUCCAUGAACUUUGGAAGAUUAAGUUAGUGAUGGAUGUGGAAUCUUCUCAUGAGGAUCAAGACAUUGCUGCAAUGGUCAAGAAGAUGCAAAAAGAAAUUCAUGAAGUAUUGGGAGAUAUCAUAUCUAUCCUUUUGUAUCCCCGUUGUUCUUGAUCCUAGAUUUAAGCAUGAAUUUGUGGAUUUUCGCUUGACACAAUUUUUUGGGGCUGAAGCACUUUCAAAACUGGAGAUAGUCAAAAACACACUUAGAAUGCUGUUCCGUGAGUAAUCUUUGCAAGUACCAAACACAGGCUUGAUACAAGAAACAAGUUCUGUUGAAGUCAAUGCUAAGAAGGAUGACUCAUUUGAUGAUUAGGAUAGACACCAAAGUGUUCGAAGGAGGACUCAGAGUUACAGUGAACUAGAUGCAUACUUGGCAGAUGACACGGUCCCUAGAAUUGACCGUUUUGAUAUUCUAAACUGGUGGAAGGCAAAUUAUGCAGCUUACUUAGUCAUUGCACGCAUGGCAUGUGAUGUAUUAUCAGCACCGGCAUCAGCAGUUGCAUCUGAAUCUGCUUUUAGCAUGGGUCAGAGGGUUGUUAGUGACUUUCGGAGCAGGCUAACCACAGACACAAUUGAGGCACUUAUUUGCCUCCAAGACUGACUGCGAGCAGUAGCUACUUCUCCUGAGAAGCUUCUGGUUCAAGUUGUGGCACCACCGGGGAGUAAGAAUUACCCAUUAACCUUCUGAGAAUGCUUGGAGGCAUCUUUGUACAAAGUUUAAUUUGCUGUUUGUUUACUCUAUAUUUUUCUUGCCAAAUUUUGAUUGACUAAGUAGAGUGAUUGAGGGGUUUCAUGAGUGUAGCAGUGAGUGAGUGAGAGAUGUCAUUCCAGUAGGCACCCAUGAGUUCACAAUUACUAAUGUUUUUAUCAUGACUAGAUGUGUUGCUUGAUGCUAGGAUUGCAACAACAGCUUCAUGUUACAAAAUGCCUAUCACUUAUAGGUUCCGUUGCUGUUACAUGUUUACAAUUGCCAAUCCUGUGAGUGAUGAUACAACAGAUCAUAUGGAAGAUGAUUUUGGAGAGGAUGCUUACUUUGUUUAAGUUGGUAUUUGUUUGAAAUUCAUAAUAUUCAUGUAUAUAUGAUAGGAGUGUCAGGCUAGCAAUGGAGCAUUGAUUGACAUUAGUAUCAGAAAGGAACAAAACUUUUAUUUAUUA